rnacentral:rRNA from 1 species
CCCUUAGAUGUUCUGGGCCGCACGCGCGCUACACUGACGAAGUCAGCGAGCAUGUCCUACGCCGACAGGUGCGGGGAAUCUUGUCAAACUUCGUCGUGAUGGGGAGUGAUUAUUGAAAUUCUUGAUCAUCAACGAGGAAUUCCUAGUAAGCGCAAGUCAGCAGCUUGCGUUGAUUACGUCCCUGCCCUUUGUACACACCGCCCGUCGCUACUACCGAUUGAAUGGUUUAGUGAGAUCUUCGGAUUGGCGCCACUGCGGCUCAGCAAUGGGCUCGGUGGAUGCCGAAAAGUUGAUCAAACUUGAUCAUUUAGAGGAAGUAAAAGUCGUAACA